rnacentral:rRNA from 1 species
GACGAGCGCUGGCGGCGUGCUUAACACAUGCAAGUCGAACGGUAAGGCCCUUCGGGGUACACGAGUGGCGAACGGGUGAGUAACACGUGGGUGAUCUGCCCUGCACUUCGGGAUAAGCCUGGGAAACUGGGUCUAAUACCGGAUAGGACCACUGCCUGCAUGGGUGGUGGUGGAAAGCUUUUGCGGUGUGGGAUGGGCCCGCGGCCUAUCAGCUUGUUGGUGGGGUGAUGGCCUACCAAGGCGACGACGGGUAGCCGGCCUGAGGGGGUGACCGGCCACACUGGGACUGAGAUACGGCCCAGACUCCUACGGGAGGCAGCAGUGGGGAAUAUUGCACAAUGGGCGCAAGCCUGAUGCAGCGACGCCGCGUGAGGGAUGACGGCCUUCGGGUUGUAAACCUCUUUCAGCACCGACGAAGCGCAAGUGACGGUAGGUGCAGAAGAAGGACCGGCCAACUACGUGCCAGCAGCCGCAGUAA